UACGUAGGGGGCAAGCGUUGUCCGGAUUCAUUGGGCGUAAAGAGCGUGUAGGCGGCCAGGUAGGUCGGUUGUGAAAACUGGAGGCUCAACCUUCAGAGGUCGACCGAAACCAUCUGGCUAGAGUCCGGGAGAGGAGAGUGGAAUUCCUGGUGUGAGCGGUGAAAUGCGCAGAUAUCAGGAAGAACACCCGUGGCGAAAGCGGCUCUCUGGAACGGUACUGACGCUGAGACGCGAAAGCGUGGGAGCGAACAGG
rnacentral:rRNA from 1 species